rnacentral:rRNA from 1 species
GACGAACGCUGGCGGCGUGCUUAACACAUGCAAGUCGAACGGAAAGGCCUCUUUCGGGGGGUACUCGAGUGGCGAACGGGUGAGUAACACGUGAGUAACCUGCCCUUGACUUUGGGAUAACUUCAGGAAACUGGGGCUAAUACCGGAUAGGAGCUCCUGCUGCAUGGUGGGGGUUGGAAAGUUUCGGCGGUUGGGGAUGGACUCGCGGCUUAUCAGCUUGUUGGUGGGGUAGUGGCUUACCAAGGCUUUGACGGGUAGCCGGCCUGAGAGGGUGACCGGCCACAUUGGGACUGAGAUACGGCCCAGACUCCUACGGGAGGCAGCAGUGGGGAAUAUUUCACAAUGGGUGGAAGCCUGAUGCAGCAACGCCGUGUGCGGGAUGACGGCCUUCGGGUUGUAAACCGCUUUCGCUCAUGACGAAGCUUUGUGUGACGGUAGUGGGUAAAGAAGCACCGGCUAACUACGUG